rnacentral:lncRNA from 1 species
GGGACAGACCUCGCAGAUCUGUCCUGCUGCAGCCUUUCCUAUAGAUCUGUUGAUGGAGAUCUCACCCGCACCUCAAACGACCUCAGAUCAACUCUAGAUCUGAGAGAGACUUGUAUCAACCUCUUUGCAAGAGAUUUCAGGUCCUGGACCUAGUGCUUGGAUGGCUUCAAGAGAGGGAGAGAGGGAUCUGGUUGGCGGCUGCAAG